rnacentral:rRNA from 1 species
AGAGUUUCCUGGCUCAGGAUGAACGCUAGCGGCAGGCCUAAUACAUGCAAGUCGAACGAUAGAUAAGGGCUUGCUCUUAUCGAAAAGUGGCGCACGGGUGCGUAACGCGUAUGCAACCUACCUUAAUCAGGGGGAUAGCCCGAAGAAAUUCGGAUUAACACCGCAUAAAAUCACAGUACAGCAUUGUACAAUGAUCAAAUAUUUAUAGGAUUAAGAUGGGCAUGCGUGUCAUUAGUUAGUUGGCGGGGUAACGGCCCACCAAGACCACGAUGACUAGGGGAUCUGAGAGGAUGGCCCCCCACACUGGUACUGAGACACGGACCAGACUCCUACGGGAGGCAGCAGUAAGGAAUAUUGGUCAAUGGAGGCAACUCUGAACCAGCCAUGCCGCGUGCAGGAAGACAGCCCUCUGGGUCGUAAACUGCUUUUAUCGGGAAUAAACCUACUUACGUGUAAGUAGCUGAAUGUACCGAAGGAAUAAGGAUCGGCUAACUCCGUG